CCUACGGGGGGCAGCAGUGGGGAAUAUUGCACAAUGGGGGAAACCCUGAUGCAGCGACGCCGCGUGAGUGAAGAAGUAAUUCGUUACGUAAAGCUCUAUCAGCAGGGAAGAAACACUGACCUUACGGUCAGCAGACGGUACCUGAGUAAGAAGCCCCGGGUAAAUACGUGCCAGCAGCCGCGGUAAUACGUAGGGGGCAAGCGUUAUCCGGAUUUACUGGGUGUAAAGGGAGCGUAGACGGUGCGCCAAGUCUGGAGGGAAAUGCCGCAGCUGAACUGCGGGACUGCUUUGGAAACUGGCGAACUAGAGUGCGGGAGGGGUAAGCGGAAUUCCUAGUGUAGCGGUGAAAUGCGUAGAUAUUAGGAGGAACACCGAGGGCGAAGGCGGCUUACUGGACCGUAACUGACGUUGAGGCUCGAAAGCGUGGGGAGCAAACAGGAUUAGAUACCCCAGUAGUC
rnacentral:rRNA from 1 species